rnacentral:rRNA from 1 species
UACGUAGGGCGCAAGCGUUAUCCGGAAUUAUUGGGCGUAAAGAGCUCGUAGGCGGUUUGUCGCGUCUGCCGUGAAAGUCCGGGGCUCAACUCCGGAUCUGCGGUGGGUACGGGCAGACUAGAGUGAUGGUAGGGGAGACUGGAAUUCCUGGUGUAGCGGUGAAAUGCGCAGAUAUCAGGAGGAACACCGAUGGCGAAGGCAGGUCUCUGGGCAUUAACUGACGCUGAGGAGCGAAAGCAUGGGGAGCGAACAGG